CCUACGGGAGGCAGCAGUGGGGAAUAUUGCACAAUGGGGGAAACCCUGAUGCAGCAACGCCGCGUGAAGGAAGACGGUUUUCGGAUUUUAAACUUCUGUUCUUAGUGAAGAAUAAUGACUGUAGCUAAGGAGCAAGCCACGGCUAACUACGUGCCAGCAGCCGCGGUAAUACGUAGGUGGCAAGCGUUGUCCGGAAUUACUGGGUGUAAAGGGAGCGCAGGCGGGAAGCCAAGUCAGCUGUGAAAACUACGGGCUUAACUUGUAGACUGCAGUUGAAACUGGUUUUCUUGAGUGAAGUAGAGGUAUGCGGAAUUCCGAGUGUAGCGGUGAAAUGCGUAGAUAUUCGGAGGAACACCGGUGGCGAAGGCGGCCAACUGGGCUUUAACUGACGCUGAGGCUCGAAAGUGUGGGGAGCGAACAGGAUUAGAUACCCGGGUAGUC
rnacentral:rRNA from 1 species